CGAGCCGGGCGGACGGCCGCGUGGAGGUUCUUGUGGAUCUCCCCGAGGAACGUCCGGGCUCCACAGGGCAGGGUGGUGGGUAACGCCCACCCGGGGUGACCCGCGGGACAGUGCCACAGAAAGCAGACCGCCGGGGACCUCGGUCCUCGGUAAGGGUGAAACGGUGGUGUAAGAGACCACCAGCGCCUGAGGUGACUCAGGCGGCUCGGUAAACCCCACCCGGAGCAAGGUCAAGAGGGGUCACUUCGGUGGCCCUGCGCGGACGUUCGAGGGCUGCCCGCCCGAGUCCGCGGGUAGACCGCACGAGGCUGGCGGCAACGCCGGUCCUAGAUGGAUGGCCGUCGCCCUGACGACCGCGAGGUCCCGGGGCACAGAACCCGGCGUACAGCCCGACUCGUCUG
rnacentral:RNase_P_RNA from 1 species